rnacentral:rRNA from 1 species
UACGUAGGGUGCAAGCGUUGUCCGGAAUUAUUGGGCGUAAAGAGCUCGUAGGCGGUUUGUCGCGUCUGCUGUGAAAACUCGGGGCUUAACUCCGGGCCUGCAGUGGGUACGGGCAGACUAGAGUGCGGUAGGGGAGACUGGAAUUCCUGGUGUAGCGGUGAAAUGCGCAGAUAUCAGGAGGAACACCGAUUGCGAAGGCAGCUCGCUGGAACGUUACUGACGCUGAGACGCGAAAGCGUGGGGAGCAAACAGG